CGGACUGGUGAGUAACGCGUAGGAAUCUGCCCAGUAGAGGGGGAUAGCCCGAGGAAACUCGGAUUAAUACCGCAUACGCCCUAAGGGGGAAAGCAGGGGAUCUUCGGACCUUGCGCUAUUGGAUGAGCCUGCGUUGGAUUAGCUAGUUGGUAGGGUAAAGGCCUACCAAGGCGACGAUCCAUAGCUGGUCUGAGAGGAUGAUCAGCCACACUGGGACUGAGACACGGCCCAG
rnacentral:rRNA from 1 species